ACGACAACAUAACUUUCUGUUCCAAUGAGGUAGGAUGACGAGCCUAUGUCAGAAUGGUUUAGAUAAAACUACAGAACGAAGCCAACAUCAGCAUGAGCUUUGUUUGCGAAUGGUAUGAACUUUGAACUCUUAUUCAUGACAGAAAUUAUACCUCCUAGCCAUUGAGUUAGCGACCGCAGUUGCAAACGCAGGUUAGGAAGGAACGGACAGAGUAUCCCAUCUACCACACAACGACGUUACUACAACUUAUCCAAGUGACCACCAGAUACAUUCUUCAAAGGACAGAGGACUCGGUUUGGCAACACGGUCUUCCAUCUAGCACCAACCUACUGAUGCGCAGCUCAGAGACCAAAGGCUGUCCCCAAGCCCUCUCCACCAGUUUUGUCAGAGUCCUCUCUGAGAGCAGGUCCCAGUUCCACAUCCAGUGAGGUGGUUACAAUUCCUUGGCACAAACUACUCUCUAACCUCACUCUUGACAUGGAAGAAAAGAAGAGACCAAGCAAAUCACUCGGAAGAGAGAUGAUUCGCAUUGUCACUGCUGAUCUACUGAGCAAAGAGACCAGGCCCGGAAGAGGAGAGCUGUGGCAAGUUGCAAAAGAGAUUGUAGAGAAAUAUCCCUGCUUGAUGUAGUCAUUGCGUGCUAUGAAUAUGGAACCAAAUAGUUUACUUUAUAAUACUUUAAUAUACAUAUUAAUUGGUUUUGUCCAAAUACAUUUGGCCCCAUAAAAUGGGAGGACUAUGUACAAAAAGUGCUGUGGAGGAGGAAUAAUGAUCUGUGCUGUUUUUCAUGGUUCAGGUUAGGCUCCUUAGUUCCAGUGAAGGGAAAUCUUAACGCUAUAGCACACAAUGACAUUCUAGACGAUUCUGUGCUUCCAACUUUGUGGCAACAGUUUGGGGAAGGCCCUAUCCUGUUACAGCAAUGCCCCAGUGCACAAAGCAAGGUCCAUACAGAAACAGUUUGUCGAGAAUGGUGUGGAAGAUCUUUACUGGCCUGCACAGAACCCACAGAACCUCAACUCCAUUGAAUACCUUUGGGAUUAAUUGAAACGCCGACUGCGAGCCAGGCCUAAUCGCCCAACAUCAGUGCCCAACCUCACUAAUGCUCUUGUGGCUGAAUGGAAGCAAGUACCCUCAGCAAUGUUCCAACAUCUAAUGGAAAGCCUUCCCAGAAAAGUGGAGGCUGUUAUACCAGCAAAGGGGAAACCAACUCUGUAUUAAUGCCCAUGAUUUUGGAUUUAAAUAUUUGACAAGUAGGUGUCCACAUACUUUUGGUCAUGUAGUAUGUUUUCCAUAUAUAAGAAAACAUAUAUGCUUGUAUAUACAGGUACAUGCACUAUUUUAGCAACAUUUCUGUAUAAAAAGUGAAAAAUUUACUGGCAAAAAAUUACCGGGACAAAUUCUAUUAUUUUACAGCCAGUUCCUUCAAAUAAACUACAGAAAAUACUGUAUAAACACAGUGACUGUCCGUUAACAUACGGAGCUGAUACUGUAUGAAAAACAAAGCUGUGUAAACGAUUCCAAUACACAACCUAUCAAACCUGUAAUUCAGAUUGAAUCAUGAUUGAAUGUUAUUUAACUGCCUUUGGUUUAUCACAUCUCCAAAACUUCACGCAUAACCUUGAUUUCCUCCAUACAAUAACUUUCCAAUAGCCCCUGAGUUUAGAUAUGUAUUAAUCUUAGCUUAUGGGCUAGAGAGGCCACUGGGGUGACCAUCCACCAAAGAAGACAUUUCAGCUCAACCAUAACAGCUAAAGAGAUUUCAUCAUACCCUUAUUGUCCCCUCAAGAUAUGAAUGCUACAUUUACAUUAAUUACCUUGAUUAUUGGACACCCUUUAUCCAGGACCACUGUACACACGCUGAGGCUGCGUUUAGACAGGCAAACUAAUUCAGAUCUUUUUUUUCACUAAUUGGUCUUUUGACCAAUCAGAUCAGCACUGAAAAAUACCUGAUGUGAAAAGAUUUGAUGUGAUUGGUCAAAAUACCAAUUAGUGGAAAAAAUAUCCGAAUUGUGCUGCCUGUCUAAACACAGCCGUAGUUUUGUAUCCUCCAUCUCACAUGGUCUUUGCCACAACUUAAAAUUUCCCUUCACCAGUUCUUGCAUUAGUAAGAUACUAAUAAUUGUAUUGCAUCUAGUUUUAAAGAAUUUAACUUUUGGCUUAAUUCAACAUAAAAAGUGGGCGCCCUACUAUUGUACAUGCAAGGGAUAUAUUCACACUACAGGUACCAUGUCAAUACAUUUUCAGACCAUAGUGGCUGUGGAUAAGCAUUGUCAGGGUAGUUUCUUGGAAUCACAACUUGAAGGAAAUUCAAUAACAUGUUGUGAGAGAGCAUACAACAUAUUGUUUUUAUAUUUUUUUUAAAUGCUACCUAACAUUCGAGGUAAUUUAGAUGAGGUUUUGUUAUUAAUAUAGCACACUGCCAUAACACGGUACUGACUACAACGGCAAUGUGAAUGGAUUGAAAUGAAUGAGAACGACUGUUCUAAUCUGGCCUUUACAGUACAGUAUAUCCCACCUUUUAUGUAUGUAGUGAAUAGACUGCAGAAUGGAGGGGAGGGCGAGUGCAGACAAACAGCCUGUCCCCUAUUUAUGUGAAUUCAUUUCAUUGCAUAUCCACUUUGAUCCGCUUUUGAUAUCCACAAAAUACAGUCAGAUACAGUUUAUGACGAUGGUUUAUGAAAGAAUAUGGUUAUCAGAUGUUAUCAUUCUAAUUGUUAACCUUUCAGCACCUAAAUAUUGAUUUGGUGAAAAGGUUGUUUUAAAAUCUGAAGUCAUUCAAUAUUGAUUUCAACAUCCAUUUUUUUUCUAAACAAUUGCUGUGUAUCACUUCAGCACAUAGUUCUGUCAUGCCUUGUACAAUAUCACUGACUGGUUCUGUCCCUUGGCUAGCUUUUUAUCUGACCUGCUAUUCAUUACAUAGACACCAACCCUCUCACAUGCCACAAAAACAUGAUCUCAGAUAAACUGUCAGUCUUAGUAAAGGGAAGGAUGAUAGGAAGGAGGAGGCGGUAGAGAGGACGGGGUUAUGGCUUCCCCAUCGCAUCAGUGCAAGCCCUGCCAUCACACAGUCUGUUUUGCUGAGCUGGCAGGCGGGAGGGGAAGCUCUGGGGACCUCUGAGCAUGCUGCUUAUCAGAGAGACACACAUGGACCACAGAUUCAAUGACGCAAUGAAAACCAUGCCCUCUCUGAUCACCCCGGUACCGUCUCAAAUGGCACCCUAUUCCCUAUUUAUUGCACCACUUUUGAACAGGACCCAGUAGGGAAUAGGGUACAGUUUGGGGCGCAGACCCGUCCCACAUAUCUCUACCACCUCCCCCCUUCAUCAGUUGUUUUACAUAACAAUGAACUGUGCUGCAUCAUAAAGUGACUCAGUUAAUCAGACUGAAAGGGCUACUAUAGUGAGCCCUACUUACUGUAAUACCCCCUAUGACCAAGUCUUUAUUGAGACAGCCAUUUGACUCUGUUCUGCCAGCACCAUUGAGAGGGCUGGCCUUGUCUCUCACAUAGGAGACUGAGGACAGUGCAGACUAAUGUACAGUAAUGUGUCUGGCUUAAUGGCUUGCCACAACACAUACAUGUAUUAACAAACAUUUCCUAAUUUGCUGUUAGUGAUUUGUUGUCCAUGUGCCCAAACUUGUUUAAUCCCUUUUCCCUGAUAUAUGAACCUGAACAGUAGAGGUUCAUGUCAGGGUCAAAGGACAUAACGGACUCCUUCCUCAGCUCAUUAUGAAGCUAGUUUAAUGGAUGAUCGAGUUUGACAGGAAUCUGAUUUACCAAAAGUAAAAAUAUGGAAAAGUACAAUUAUGAAGAUGUACAGUAGGUGUGUGUACUGAAUGUAUAGCAGUGAACUGUUAGCACAGCUGUGUCCAAUUAAAAAUGUAACAACUCUCA